ACCCUAAUCUAAUAAGGUUUUGAUAUCUGGAGCUCAUAGGUGGGAGACAGAUAAUACAUACUUACAAGACGUUUAUUGCAUAGUCAAACCAUGGAUCUAGAAGAACAAGUCGAUAAGUCAAAUCAAGAUAAGCAUGUGUGGCGAGUGAAUGGUGUAUGGUGAUGAUGGUGAUAACAAUGGUGAAAGUCUAAUUCUACUUUUGCUCUUUUUAGAGGAUAUAUACCUUUCUUGCACUUUGAAGCUUUUUGAGGAGAAUGAGAUGCUCUAUAUUUGAUUUUUCUUUUUCUCUCAGGUGGGUAUCUUGUACCCCUAAUUCUACUAUCGGACACUUGUCCAUUUUUACCUCUCGUCUUACUUUUUCUUUCCUUCGAGGUUCCGGGCACUUGCCCCUUUUUAUUUCCUUGUAUUUUUCCUUUUUUUAGAGCACUCAUCUCCUGAAAAUAAUAUACCAAGUGGUAGUAACCAAGAUAACUCGAGCAUUUAUUUCACAGGGAAAAAUAGAAAUAGGAGAAUGUUUUUGGCUAUUCUCUCCCGGAUUAGGAGUAGAAUACUUUUAGGUGAAUCUGGAGAUGGAAUUGAGUGGAUGUAUGUGGAUGCGUACUUCUAGAGUCGAAGUAGCAUGUAUGAGUGAACGUGCAAGUGAAUCUUGAUUUUAACCGUAUGACAAGCUCCUAAGGGUCUAAACAGCUUGACCACACUCAAUGCUCAUAAGCAGUAAAAAGUAAAUAUAUGGUUCAUAGUCUAAUAAGCAUGUAUAUGUGGCUGUGGUAGGAUUUUAAACUCUCAUCAUACAAGAACUCAUCAUGUGUUAUUUUAAAGAUUUUCAAAGAUAAAAUUCUCCAGAAUUCUAGCAUCUCUAGGAACAGAUAAAUAGCAGCUCAACC
rnacentral:lncRNA from 1 species